rnacentral:rRNA from 1 species
GACGAACGCUGGCGGCGUGCUUAACACAUGCAAGUCGAGCGGUAAGGCCCUUUCGGGGGUACACGAGCGGCGAACGGGUGAGUAACACGUGGGUGACCUGCCCUCAGCUCUGGGAUAAGCCUGGGAAACCGGGUCUAAUACUGGAUAUGACUCCAUGACGCAUGUUGUGGGGUGGAAAGCCUUGUGCGGCUGAGGAUGGGGCCCCGCGGCCUAUCAGCUUGUUGGUGGGGGUGANGGCCUACCAAGGCGACGACGGGUAGCCGGCCUGAGAGGGCGACCGGCCACACUGGGACUGAGACACGGCCCAGACUCCUACGGGAGGCAGCAGUGGGGAAUCUUGCGCAAUGGGCGAAAGCCUGGCGCAGCGACGCCGCGUGAGGGAUGACGGCCU